CCCUUAGUUGCAGCGACCAAUGCAGCGUCUAAUAUAUGUAAAUGUAACGUGAGCCUGGGCCCAAAGAUUCAAAAAAAGGGACACUUAAGUAAACAUCUGGGCACUUGUUUGUGUGAGAAAAUGCACCCUUCCAGUGACUGGAAGUAGUUUUAAGAGUCUCUGUUAGGUAUAUAAGAACUAGGAUUUUAAGCAAUAAAGAGUUCAGUUAAGAUCUUGAAUUCGGCAAAUGUGGAGUGUUUUUCAUUUUAACGCUCUAACAUUUUGGUCCUUCGGCGUUCUCUGUGUUUUCCCCCACCCGUGUGCUGGUGGGUCUGCAUUCCCAAAAAGGGACUAGACCAAAUAAAAAAAAAAAAAAAAAUUUAAAAAUCCGAAAAGUUCGGUUCUCUCGUGAAGUGCGGAGAGAGAAAAACAAAAAACAAAAACAAAAAUUGAAGUGAUUCUGUUCUCUCGCGUGAAGUGCGGAGACAGAAAAAAUUAAAAAAGAAUAAUAAAUAAAAAUCCGAAAAAUUCGGUUCAAAAAAAUAAAAAAUCGAAGUAAUUCUGUUCUCUCGCGCAAAGUGCGGAGAGGCAGAAUACUACCAAAAGGUUUCUGUUCUCCAUCCAAAAAGAGAGACAGAGUAAAACUACAGCGAAAUUCGACGAAAGAAAGCGACUCAUCAGAACCGUCAGUGGCCAACGGGAAGAGGAAUAUCACCAAGAUCAUCAGGCGCCCCCUUCAGAGAAGACUGGAUCAACAGGAGGACAGCGCGGAUAAGAUAAAGAUAAGUCGUAGUUUAAUUUUUUUUAAUAAAUAUAAAUAAAAAUAAAAAGAAUGCUGUCAGAAAAAGUGAUAAAGCUCUUGAAAAUGCAAUCGGACUUAGUGUCCAGAUUGAAAAAACUAGACUCAUCUGAAGAAAUUAGGCCACCGAGCGAAAUUUUAGGAGAGUUAGAAAAAAUAAAAGAAGAAUUAGAAAAUAAUCAUACCUUAUUGUUAAAAGUAGGGGUAAUAGACCAUGCAUACUUUAACAAUAAGGAAUUUGAUAAAGCGAUGAAAAGCAUACAAGAUUUGAAAUUAGAAAUUAUGAGGGCUGAGAAAGAAGAAGAUAAAGAUGUGAAGCAUGUUAGAGCAGUCACAGUUCACAAAAGCUCUGAAGAAGAAGUAGAGUUUGAAAGCAAAGUCGAACAGUUAAAACUAUAUUUAGUAGAAGUAUAUGAGGACAUUGCAAAAGGAAACGUAGGAAUCUUCGAGAUUCGAAAGAAUAAAAUUAGAUAUUUAUGGAAUAAAGUUUCAAAGCUAGUUCAGGAGCUAAGAAAUAAAUAUGUGUCAAACAAAAUGUUUGACGAAGAGGUUAAUGAAUUAGAUUUUGAUGUGCAAAAUGCAAUCAGUGCGUUAGAAGCCAAAAAAGGCACCCCAAUUCAACCCAUAAUCCACGAAAAAAUGGAUAACCUUCCGGGUCUACCAAAAAUUCAAGUCCCAAUAUUUUUUGGAGAUGUCAAAGAUUG